GACGAACGCUGGCGGCGUGCUUAACACAUGCAAGUCGAGCGGUAAGGCCCUUUCGGGGGUACACGAGCGGCGAACGGGUGAGUAACACGUGGGUGACCUGCCCUCAGCUCUGGGAUAAGCCUGGGAAACCGGGUCUAAUACUGGAUAUGACUCCAUGACGCAUGUUGUGGGGUGGAAAGCCUUGUGCGGCUGAGGAUGGGCCCGCGGCCUAUCAGCUUGUUGGUGGGGUGAGGCCUACCAAGGCGACGACGGGUAGCCGGCCUGAGAGGGCGACCGGCCACACUGGGACUGAGACACGGCCCAGACUCCUACGGGAGGCAGCAGUGGGGAAUCUUGCGCAAUGGGCGAAAGCCUGACGCAGCGACGCCGCGUGAGGGAUGACGGCCUCGGUGUAACGU
rnacentral:rRNA from 1 species